rnacentral:misc_RNA from 1 species
UUUUUUUUUUUUAAACAAAAUAAGAGCAAUCAAGAGAGAGUUAUAGCAGGACCCAAAACAGAAACAAACUCAGAAAAAUGCAGAUAAUAGUAGUAAUAGUAAAGAUAAAUAUAUAAAUUUAUAGUCUAAAUUUCUUAUUUGGAGCCAAAAUCAUGAAACGUAGUAUAACCAGUAGAGGAAAACAACUGAGAAAGAUUGACGAUUGAACAAGAUGGGUCCUGCGCCUAUAGGUGGAAUUGAUCAUAAACCCAGAAAGGAAGAUUUCACUGAGAAUUGGAGACAUGAAUCUCAAAAAUCAAGAACAAAAUAUUUAGCAUCAGGACAAACUUUAAAAACCCACAAAAGAAAGAUGUGCAAAAUCUGCAGAUUUAUGCUUAAAACCAGUCUCAAAAACACCAACCCAGAUUUGGCAACUUUUUGAGAUUGGAAGGCAAGAAAUCA